UUCUAUACAUCCUCCUUUUAUUUUAGGUAUAGUGGAGUUUAUUCAUGUGCAUUCUUCAUUCUUUCGAGGCAAAUCCAAUUAUGAGGUGAAUUUCAUGGUUUUCUGGCCUCGUAGUCCAAAGGAUUUCUAUGACGUGUGAGAUCAUCGACACCUUGCCCUGGAGGAAAUGGCUUAGUAUCCUAAAGGUAAGUAUAAGUAAUAAUUAUUUACUAUUUUAUAUCUCAUUCUAUUUAUAUUACGAGUAUAGGAAUUUUUAAAUAAUCGUAGAAAGAAUUCUUCUAGACGGCAAUUUCCAUAUCCUAGAUGCCAAAGAUUUGGAGUUGAAACUAUGAUGGGCCCAAUUCAUCCUCCUCUCUCUACAUCUUGCAUACAUGCAGCACCUCCUUCUUCUCUAUCUUGUUAUAGCACGUUUUUUUUUAUGGAUUGUUGUUUCCUGAAAAUAAGUUAACAUAUUUUAGUAUAUCUGACAGAUAAAAUGGAGUUUAAUCGAGUGGAUUAAUUCGUGCACCUCUUCGUCCUCCUCAGAUCAUAGGGGCAAGGCGAAGAAACCAAGGACUAUCACAAAGGUGGCCCUCAUCAGUAGAGUCAAGCAAUCUCAAAGAAAGCCACUUAGGUGGCUGUUCCACGACCAAGAAAUCCUCCAUUGGAUGGUAAGGUCAAUGCUACUUGACAAAGGCUCCAGUCGUAGAAAGCUAGGCCCGCUUCAGAAUUAGAAUACCAAAUAGUAGAAACUACGAGAUGCCUUGAAUUAUUUUUUAUGGUGAAUGAUUUAUGUGCUGACCAUUCUUUAUGUUUCUGGUCUUUUGCUUAGCUCAUGAAUGAAGAAUUAAGCCUGAUUUGGAGGAUGUUUACCUUGGUUGCCACAUCGAGAUCCUCGGCUCCUCGCAUGGGGGGUAACUCCUCAUCUCUCUCUUUUAACUAUGAAAUUUAGAUAGAUAGAUAUGAAUCACGUAGUUUGUGACAUGCAGGACAUUUGUCCCCUUUCAUGUCUACGUGCGGAGCUCACAGAUGAAAUUUGUUGGGGGGAUUUAGGAUGGAGGAACCAACCAUCUAGUUGUUGGACCCUUGGAUUGCUACAAAGCUAGAUGGUGAUCCAGCACCAAAUUCAAUGGUGGUCUUCCUUCCAUGGACAUGCUUGGAUUAACAUUCUGUAAGGUCAACAAGGUUCAUGUGGAUCUGUGUAAUCUCAAAACAGUAUCAAAUCCUUCAAUGUAAAUGACAAGUGCAAUAUAUGUUCAUUUUCCCAAUCGACAUAUUUGAUGCUGAAUUCCCAAUCGACCUUUUUUAUUUUUGAAUGAGAUUUUUUUUAGCAAUUUGAGGGAAGAAAAAUAUUCUACAUAUUCAUUGCAUAAGUAAUUGAG
rnacentral:lncRNA from 1 species